rnacentral:rRNA from 1 species
AGUGAACGCUGGCGGUAGGCCUAACACAUGCAAGUCGAACGGCAGCACAGUAAGAGCUUGCUCUUACGGGUGGCGAGUGGCGGACGGGUGAGGAAUACAUCGGAAUCUACUUUUUCGGGGGGGAUAACGUAGGGAAACUUACGCUAAUACCGCAUACGACCUACGGGAGAAAGCAGGAGAGCUUCGGACCUUGCGCGACUGAAUGAGACGAUGUCGGAUUAGCUAGUUGGCGGGGUAACGGCACACCAAGGCGACGAUCCGUAGCUGGUCUGAGAGGAUGAUCAGCCACACUGGAACUGAGACACGGUCCAGACUCCUACGGGAGGCAGCAGUGGGGAAUAUUGGACAAUGGGCGCAAGCCUGAUCCAGCCAUACCGCGUGGGUGAAGAAGGCCUUCGGGUUGUAAAGCCCUUUUGUUGGGAAAGAAAAGCAGCAGGUUAAUCCCCCGCUGUUCUGACGGUACCCAAAGAAUAAGCACCGGCUAACUUCGUG